rnacentral:lncRNA from 1 species
GUUCAACUACAUUUUACAAGGCCAAAAAGAAAGUUGAAUCGUGAAGUCAAAAAGCAAUAUUUUUUUAAUCUGAGUAUGCAAAUUGAAGAUUAUGUUAUAUAUUUUACAUUAAACAUAUUCGAAAAACAAAAACAUGUAUUUUGAGAGUCCCAGACACUAUAUAAAUUGACAGUUUUCCCAUCUAUUCCACGUGUUUUAGAGUGAUAGUAAACACGUAGUAGCCCACAAUGCAUUGCAGUUCAUUGAGUCGAUUGGUCAGUUUUUCAAGGUCAUGUUUACGAUCUAUUUUUGAAAUUAGUAUGCAAAUAUAUUCUGACGUCAGGAAAUCUAGAGUUCUCGACCUGUUAAACUCUUAAAUUUAAUAAGGUUUUAUUUAUGAUAAAUAUCACACCGCUAAAUGAUAAACACAUUCACAUUAGCUUAAUUUCAAAGUAAACAAAAAACGUUACGGUAGAUCAAAAUUAACAUGAAAAGUAUCUGGAUUCAUAAAAUCAACAUAGUUAAAAAUAAAAUAUUCUCGUACAGAAUAAAUUCAUCUUUUCUCUAAAAUAGGUCUUCUUGGAAGUCUUCAAAACCCAUGGCGAUACAGCUAUCACCAAAACACAGUACAGUAAAUAUAAUUACGUUUUUAAAAAAGUCCAAUAUAGGUAACACAACAGCAAUACAGUCAACAUUACGCAAUACAAAUCACACGUGUAGUUCAACGGAUAAAUCUAGGUCAACAGUAAAAAUGGUUCUUUUGGUAAAAUCGAAACUUUAGACUAUGCAUGGCGAUACAGUUAUCACCGAUAAAAAUUGAAUGAUGUCAAAUAAAACUAUUAUAUAUAAAUAAACAGGAUCCAAAUGUUAUAGAAAUGAAAUAAUGUAUGAUGCAACGAGAUCAAUCUCACGUGCUUUCUGGUUGCGAACGAAAUACAUGUAGACGUUCAUUAAUAAUUCACAGUACGUAUACGAGACGGGACAUGGUCUGUUCUUCUUCUUCCGAAAAAUCAAUUUAAAUGUUGGUAUUAAUAAACGUUCAGAUAUAAAUUUUCAAAUACAAUUAAAGUGUUCAGCAUCAUGGCGGCAUAUAUCAGGAUCCAUCAGGAUCCAUCAGGAACAGUCGGUCAACUUCACAAGUACAAAUAUCCAAAAUCCAUUGAAAAACAAAAUCCAAAAUAUGUUUAAAUCAUUAUUUAUGAUCGUUUAGGGUCCCCACCAUAAUACAGACUAGGGGCCCCUAGCAUGGUAGCAUGGAUGGAGGCGAUUAUAUACGGACACAUAAAAACACAUCACCUUCUAUUUCUACAUUU